AUUGAACGCUGGCGGCAGGCCUAACACAUGCAAGUCGAACGAGUGGCGGACGGGUGAGUAAUGUCUGGGAAACUGCCCGAUGGAGGGGGAUAACUACUGGAAACGGUAGCUAAUACCGCAUACCAUCGGAUGUGCCCAGAUGGGAUUAGCUUGUAGGUGAGGUAACGGCUCACCUAGGCGACGAUCCCUAGCUGGUCUGAGAGGAUGACCAGCCACACUGGAACUGAGACACGGUCCAGACGCCUACGGGAGUGAUCAGUGGGGAAUAGUGCAAAAGGGGCGCAAGCCGGAUGCAGCCAUGCGGCGUGGAUGAAGAAGGCCUUCGGUUUGUAAAGUACUUUCAGCGGGGAGGCGUGACCCGCAGAAGAAGCACCGGCUAACUCCGGGCCAGCAGCCGCGGUAAUUC
rnacentral:rRNA from 1 species